UGAUUUUGAUUUGUCUGUUUUUUUGUCUAUAUAGUUGUCCUCGGCUCCCAAGGGUCGUGUUGCUUCUUCCACCUCUGCUAAGAAAAUAGACAGCGAGAACAUUCCAAAGUAAAAACAAAGCAUUUGUUUAUUUUUUUUAGAGAACGAUUCAUAUGAGAUACUUUAGAUGAGAUAGUUAGAAGAUACUCCAUCCAUCUAAUUUUUAUCUUGAGAUUUGUGAAUACAUAUUAUCUCAAUCUCGAGACAAUGAUUUAGUGGUUGAGAUUUUAUCUCUCACCAUUAUUUCAUCUAAUGUAUCUCAUAUGAAUCUACUCCUAUUUUUUUAUUGUUCAGAAAUAAGUAGAUUAUGUGUAUUGUAGGUCUGUAGCUCCUGAGACAUCUGAAGUCGAUGACUUGGAAAAGAGAUUGGCGUCACUUCGUCGAUUAUGAUCUUACUUUGUUUAGGGUUUGAUAUGUUGUCAUUAUCAUGAUUUGAAGCUGAUGAUGUCAUGCUGGAGUUAUGUGCUGCUUUGAACCAUGACUAAGGUUUGUUAUGUUAUCAUUAUAAGAAUAAAUAAGAGCAGGAGUUCAGGAAGAUUGAAGGUCGUUGUAUGGAAACUGUAGUGUAACAACAACUUACCAAACCCAUUAAUACUAUAUGGAAUAAUAUAUUGGUAAUAUGACAUACUUUUGUGGAUUUAUAACAUAUAUAUUUGUACUUUGAACUACUUUUCUACAAAUAGAAAUAUAUAUUUAGGAAUGUUAACCAAGAUUCGUUCGAAUAAACGAAUCGAAUAUUUUAAGUUUGGUUUGUUUAAUAUUUAAUUAUUUAAAUGUGUAUUUUAACUUUUAAGCUAUUCAUUGUUAAAAAAUAAACAUGUUAAAAAAAUAUUUUCAAAAACAAAAAAACAUUAAUUCAUCUUUUGUUUAGUUUAUAGUUUAUUUUAUUUUGUUGUUUCAAUUUUUAGUUUAUCUUUUCUUCUUGUUCAUUGAAAAUCUUACAUUGAAAUUUAUUUUCAACAUAUCAUCAUCCUAAUAAAAAUGUUAAACAUAACAAACCAUUUGUCGAACUUCAAUUUUAACAUAGCAAAUCGAACAAUCUCUAAAUGACAUAUCAGAAUCAUAUAUUAUUGAUUCCAUAAUGAAAAUUAUGUAGAGACUAGAAUUUUGAAUCUUCAAAUUUUUUAAUAGUUAUUGUGAACUCUGUCAUCAUUUGAAUUAAUUUCUCUUAUUUUUAAUUGACAAUUCACAUAGUAUGUUAGAAUUUACCAUUAUCUUAAUAAUGAUUAACUCAUUAAUCAUUAUUAGUUUUAAAAGAAGAAAAAAAUCAUUAAUAAUACAAAAUGUAGUGAUUAAAUGUAGUAGUCUUAGAUCAAGUUAAACAAAAGAUUUAUAGGAAGACGAACGUUUUUAACCAAUGAGAAAAAUAAAACAGAGAAAGUUUUCGUAUAAGCUUUAUGACAACAUUAAACAAUGUAUAGGGAUAUAAUCAUUUUAUUCCUGUACGAUGUUAAAUGUUGGCAUAAAGCUCAUAAAGUUAUUGUCUCCGUAGAUUUUUCCAGUUUCCAUCAUUCAAAAAUAAAAACACAUACAGCAAAGUAGCAAACAGAUGACAUAAAAAGAGCACAACAACCUACCUGGAUUUGAUUGGACGGAUGGAUAUCUGUGACUGAGAAUCUAGUAAAAGGAGGGGCAGUGUAGGUUUGUGCAUAUAAAUAUUCAAGUUAGAGAGAAAUUAGGGUUACGAAAGAUUUGGAAACCAGUAAGAGCCCAUCUAGAAUAGGUAGGCCGUAGGCAGUAAGGUUCCCCAUUGGGUCCGAUCCAACAGGAAUACAUCUGCAAUCUUUUAUUCGACACUUGUGAAACGAAAUUCAGAAAAUAAAUAGUUUAGAAGAAGAAGAAAAAGGUAAAUGACAAGAGAAUUUCAUAAUUUUAGGUUUCAAUACAUACGAAAUUACCAAUCCGUAAAUAUUAACAUUAUUUUAUGAAAAGUUGAAAACAAAUAAAUUACUAAUUAACUACUUAGUUUUUACUUUUGAUAAUUGUAACUUUUAUAUAGAGAGAUUAGAAAGAGAAGUGAAAAUAAUUCAUAUAGCAUUAUCUCAUUUGAAUCUAUCAUUAUAUGUAUAUCAACAUUUUUUGUUAAAUACUCAAAAUAAGAUAUUUUGUGAGAUAUUAGUAGAUUCGUGGUAUCACGACUUCAUGAAGAUUUAGAUAUUAAUGAAAAGAUCACCGACGACGACAUAAACACCGACGAGGAGUUUGACUGUAGGCCCGUCCGAACCAGGCGUAACAAACUGGACAAUAAUUACAUCUAUUAUUAAAUCUAAUUCUAUUGCAAUUAAUUAGAGUUGUUAUGAAUUGGUGGCCAUGGAAAUAGAAAAGACACCCAUUUUUGGGUAUCCAAUUUAUCGAACAAUCAAAAUCCUUCUCGUCUCUGGCUUCCUCGAGAGAAUUCAUGUCCAACCUCCGACUCCCAUUGGGAGAAUACCCUCUGUCGUGUGUUUCUCCUGAAUCACUUACAACUCUUAAGGAAUUGAUCAAUUUAAGGAAUCACUUCACCUGGGAAGAAGUGUGUCUCUGGUCCAGCGAUUAGUGAAUCACGGAUACCUAGAGACGAGCGCAGCGAGGAUAUACCUCUGAUAUCAAGACUCAGUCCGUUACAGAGGAUAGUUGUGAAGCUGUCUGUUCGGAAACUUGAUGCGACUGGAUGAAUGACGAGUGCGAAAGCGACGGUGGAUGAAUUCUUAUCUACUGUCGGAGGAGAUGGAGGUGGUUGAUAAAAAAAAUAAAACUGUUUUAGAAAAGAUUGGUUGCUUUUUUCAUUCACUCAUAAAAUGCUUAAAUAGAUCAAAGUUAGUAACCGUUGGAAGUUACUUCCAU
rnacentral:lncRNA from 1 species